rnacentral:rRNA from 1 species
AUUGAACGCUGGCGGCAGGCUUAACACAUGCAAGUCGAGCGGGGACUUCGGUCCUAGCGGCGGACGGGUGAGUAAUACUUGGGAAUCUACCUAGUAGUGGGGGACAACGUUUCGAAAGGAACGCUAAUACCGCAUACGCCCUACGGGGGAAAGGGGGGGAUCUUCGGACCUCUCGCUAUUAGAUGAGCCCAUGUCGGAUUAGCUAGUUGGUGGGGUAAAGGCCUACCAAGGCGACGAUCCGUAGCUGGUCUGAGAGGAUGAUCAGCCACACUGGAACUGAGACACGGUCCAGACUCCUACGGGAGGCAGCAGUGGGGAAUAUUGGACAAUGGGCGAAAGCCUGAUCCAGCCAUGCCGCGUGUGUGAAGAAGGCCUUCGGGUUGUAAAGCACUUUAAGCGAGGAGGAAGGGUUCUUAAUUAAUACUUAAGAGCAUUGACGUUACUCGCAGAAUAAGCACCGGCUAACUCUGUGCCAGCAGCCGCGGUAAUACAGAGGGUGCAAGCGUUAAUCGGAAUUACUGGGCGUAAAGCGCGCGUAGGCGGUUGUAUAAGUUGGAUGUGAAAUCCCUGGGCUUAACCUAGCACUGCAUUCAAAACUGUACAGCUAGAGUGUAGGAGAGGAAGGUAGAAUUCCAGGUGUAGCGGUGAAAUGCGUAGAGAUCUGGAGGAAUACCGAUGGCGAAGGCAGCCUUCUGGCCUAACACUGACGCUGAGGUGCGAGAGCAUGGGGAGCAAACAGGAUUAGAUACCCUGGUAGUCCAUGCCGUAAACGAUGUCUACUAGCCGUUGGGGGACUUGAUCCUUUAGUGGCGCAGCUAACGCAUUAAGUAGACCGCCUGGGGAGUACGGUCGCAAGACUAAAACUCAAAUGAAUUGACGGGGGCCCGCACAAGCGGUGGAGCAUUUGGUUUAAUUCGAUGCAACGCGAAGAACCUUACCUGGCCUUGACAUGUCUGGAAUCCUGUAGAGAUACGGGAGUGCCUUCGGGAAUCAGAACACAGGUGCUGCAUGGCUGUCGUCAGCUCGUGUCGUGAGAUGUUGGGUUAAGUCCCGCAACGAGCGCAACCCUUGUCCUUAGUUGCCAGCACGUAAUGGUGGGAACUCUAGGGAGACUGCCGGUGACAAACCGGAGGAAGGCGGGGACGACGUCAAGUCAUCAUGGCCCUUACGGCCAGGGCUACACACGUGCUACAAUGGUCGGUACAGAGGGUUGCUAGCCCGCGAGGGUACGCUAAUCUCGCAAAGCCGAUCGUAGUCCGGAUUGGAGUCUGCAACUCGACUCCAUGAAGUCGGAAUCGCUAGUAAUCGCGGAUCAGAAUGCCGCGGUGAAUACGUUCCCGGGCCUUGUACACACCGCCCGUCACACCAUGGGAGUUUGUUGCACCAGAAGUAGUUAGCCUAACCGCAAGGGGGGCGAUUACCACGGUGUGGCCAAUGACUGGGGUG